rnacentral:rRNA from 1 species
AACGAACGCUGGCGGCAGGCCUAACACAUGCAAGUCGAACGCACCGCAAGGUGAGUGGCGCACGGGUGAGUAACACGUGGGAAUGUAUCCUUUGGUUCGGAAUAACGUUUGGAAACGAACGCUAAUACCGGAUGAGCCCUUAGGGGGAAAGAUUUAUCGCCGAAGGAGCAGCCGGCGUCUGAUUAGGUAGUUGGUGGGGUAAAGGCCUACCAAGCCGACGAUCAGUAGCUGGUCUGAGAGGAUGAUCAGCCACACUGGGACUGGGACACGGCCCAGACUCCUACGGGAGGCAGCAGUGGGGAAUAUUGGACAAUGGGCGCAAGCCUGAUCCAGCCAUGCCGCGCGAGUGAUGAAGGCCUUCGGGUUGUAAAGCUCUUUCGCACACGACGAUGAUGACGGUAGUGUGAGAAGAAGCCCCGGCUAACUUCGUGCCAGCAGCCGCGGUAACAC